CCUACGGGAGGCAGCAGUGAGGAAUAUUGGUCAAUGGACGAGAGUCUGAACCAGCCAAGUAGCGUGAAGGAUGACUGCCCGAUGGGUUGUAAACUUCUUUUAUAUGGGAAUAAAAUGUUCCACGUGUGGGAUUUUGUAUGUACCAUAUGAAUAAGGAUCGGCUAACUCCGUGCCAGCAGCCGCGGUAAUACGGAGGAUCCGAGCGUUAUCCGGAUUUAUUGGGUUUAAAGGGAGCGUAGGUGGAUUGUUAAGUCAGUUGUGACAGUUUGCGGCUCAACCGUAAAAUUGCCGUUGAAACUGGCAGUCUUUAUUACAGUAGAGGUGGGCGGACUUCGUGGUGUAGCGGUGACAUGCUUAGAUAUCACGAAGAACUCCGAUUGCGAAGGCAGCUCACUGGACUGCAACUGACACUGAGGCUCGAACGUGUGGGUAUCAAACAGGAUUAGAUACCCUUGUAGUC
rnacentral:rRNA from 1 species